AACACAGAAGUUAAGCUUCUUAGCGCCGAUUGUAGUGAGGGGUUGCCCCUUGUGAGAGUAGGACGUCGCCACGC
rnacentral:rRNA from 1 species